rnacentral:rRNA from 1 species
UACGGGGGGAGCAAGCGUUGUUCGGAUUUACUGGGCGUAAAGGGCGCGUAGGCGGCCACCGCAAGUCGACUGUGAAAUCUCCGGGCUUAACCCGGAAAGGUCAGCCGAUACUGCGGGGCUAGAGUGCAGAAGGGGCAACUGGAAUUCUCGGUGUAGCGGUGAAAUGCGUAGAUAUCGGUAGGAACACCAGUGGCGAAGGCGGUCUCCUGGGGCAUUCUUGACGCUGAGGCGCGAAAGCUGGGGGAGCGAACGGG